rnacentral:rRNA from 1 species
GAUGAACGCUGGCGGCGUGCCUAAUACAUGCAAGUCGAGCGAACAGACGAGGAGCUUGCUCCUCUGACGUUAGCGGCGGACGGGUGAGUAACACGUGGAUAACCUACCUAUAAGACUGGGAUAACUUCGGGAAACCGGAGCUAAUACCGGAUAAUAUAUUGAACCGCAUGGUUCAAUAGUGAAAGACGGUUUUGCUGUCACUUAUAGAUGGAUCCGCGCCGCAUUAGCUAGUUGGUAAGGUAACGGCUUACCAAGGCAACGAUGCGUAGCCGACCUGAGGGGGUGUUCGGCCACCCUGGAACUGAGACACGGUCCAGACUCCUGCGGGAGGCAGCAGUAGGGAAUCUUCCGCAAUGGGCGAAAGCCUGACGGAGCAACGCCGCGUGAGUGAUGGAGGUCUUCGGAUCGUAAAACUCUGUUAUUAGGGAAGAACAAAUGUGUAAGUAACUAUGCACGUCUUGACGGUACCUAAUCAGGAAGCCACGGCUAACUACGUG